rnacentral:rRNA from 1 species
ACUCCCCAAACCCCUGUGAACAUACCGUACGUUGCCUCGGCGGGGGGGCGCUCCCCCGCCCGCCGGCGGCCCACGAAACUCUGCUUUGCCCUGAAUCUCUGAAACGACAAACUAAAUCAGUUAAAACUUUCAACAACGGAUCUCUUGGUUCUGGCAUCGAUGAAGAACGCAGCGAAAUGCGAUACGUAGUGUGAAUUGCAGAAUUCAGUGAAUCAUCGAAUCUUUGAACGCACAUUGCGCCUGCUAGUAUUCUGGCGGGCAUGCCUGUUCGAGCGUCAUUUCAACCCCUUAAGCCCCCGUUGCUUAGUGUUGGGAGCCCACGGCCACCCCGCCGUCGCUCCUCAAAUCCAGUGGCGGAGCCGGUUCGCGCUCUAGGCGUAGUAGAUUUUCUCCAUCUCGCCUACGGCCGGGCCGGCCCUCCUGCCGUAAAAGAACCCCCCCUCCACAGAAGGUUGACCUCGAAUCAGGUAGGAAUACCCGCUGAACUUAAGCAUAUCAAUAAGCGGAGGAA